GAUCAGGCAAUCUUGGCGGAGGAAGAGCGCCUCGUCGUCAUCCGAUUCGGCCACGACUGGGACGAGACUUGCAUGCAGGUAUAAACCCUCUCUUUUUUCAUCUUCUCUCUUUGCCUCUCUUUGAUUGUUACCGGAAAUUCAACUUCUUUCAAUCUCAAGUACCGAUCAAACAACUUUUUUUUAUUGGAAUUCGAAUUUCUUGCAUUUGUACUGUUCAUUUUCCAUUAUUAAAUGCCUAAUUGUUGUGUUGAUGUUAUUCAUCUCUCUUUAGAGUGAUUUGGGGGCGUAGGAUUGUGUGUAAUUUUCUGAAUUUUUUCUCCCCUCUUUUUAUUGUCCGUCCCACAAUGGUUGUUUGGAAUUAAGGUUACGGCGUAAUAGUUAUGGAAAUGAUUUGCUUUUCAACUAUUUUCUUGUGGUAGUUUCCUCGUUACAGCUUUUUGGUUUUGGGUGAUGUUUUAUUCUCCUUUCAGCUGUCAAAUGGGUUUAAGUGUUUAAUUUGAGUGCAUUUUGCUAUAAGCUGAUAAAUUUUUGCUUCACAGGAAUUGGACUUGACUUCGGUUCUCAAUCUUUACGAGUUAACUGGAAUUGCAAGAUUAUGCUUUUAGUUGAACUAACUAAUAUUUUGGCUUCGAUGGAACUGUUUCUUUUAUUUUGUUGGGUGACAAUGUAUCUGUUUCCUGGCUAUCAUGCUAUAUUCCUUUAAUCUAUGCAUGUUGUUAUCUGAUGGGUUUGUACGUAUUUAAUGAACUGUUGUUGCAUUGUUAGGUUGAUUUCUUUAUUAAAAAUUGGGCUUUUCCAUUUGAAAAAUGUUUUUGAAUGACCAACUCAAUCUAAAAGGCUCUAAUAUCUGUGAUAAUAUUUCCUCUCAAAUUGGUUUUGUUGGUCUUAUUUAGAUGGAUGAAGUGCUCGCAUCA
rnacentral:misc_RNA from 1 species